CGCAUCUGUGCAUGCAGCAUAUCAAUAAGCGGAGGAAAAGAAACUAACAAGGAUUCCCCUAGUAACGGCGAGUGAAGCGGGAAGAGCUCAAAUUUGAGAUCUUAAAGGGUUUCCCUUUACGAAUUGUAGUUUAAAGAAGUGUUUUCUGUUGAGGUUUUGGUAAAAGUUCUUUGGAAUAGGACAUCAUAGAGGGUGAGAAUCCCGUAUUUGACCUUUACUUUCAACUUUGUGAUACACUUUCAAAGAGUCGGAUUGUUUAGGGAAUGCAGUCCAAAAUGGGUGGUAAAUUUCAUCUAAAGCUAAAUAUUGGCGAGAGACCGAUAGCGAACAAGUACCGUGAGGGAAAGAUGAAAAGAACUUUGAAAAGAGAGUUAAACAGUACGUGAAAUUGUCAAAAGGGAAGCGUUUGACACCAGUGUUGUUUUUCUGAAAAUCAAUUAAAGAACUGUUUAUGCUAAGUUGUUUAGACUUUAUCAGCUAACUGUUUAGUUUUGAGCUUUUCUUUAAUGCACUUUUCAGUUAACAAGUCAACAUCAAUUUCUUUUGCUGUAAAAAAGCUUGAGGAAGGUGGCUUGAGAUUCGUCUUAAGUGUUUAUAGCCUCUUGCCUAUGCAGUCGGAGAGAUUGAGGUCUGCAGCGUAGAUCCUUCGGGGCUAAAUGCAUUUGUGCUAAGUUAUAGCAUUUUAUAGACAACUUGUUGACUAUGAUUUGUCUUGUAGCUUACUCGCUUAUGUUAUUUUACCUACGCUUAGGAUGUUGACAGCAGUAUAGACUGU
rnacentral:rRNA from 1 species